rnacentral:lncRNA from 1 species
AUGCUUAAGGGGCCCAAAUCAAUGUUAGGGUAUUGCUGUGUUUCACCACUGACAAUUUGCUGCUCUCGCUACUACCUGCUUCUGCCAAAGAGCAGGGAAGGUUUUGCUGAUGUUUUUCCUCGUUUUUUUACCUUACCGCAACUGUCAGUGUGUGGUCUUUACUCCUUGCUGUGCCACUGCCUCGGUGAACCCUGCGUACAGGCCUGUAGCGAGCAGCUGCUGCUGCGCUGGGGAGAGGCUCCAGCCCCCCGGCAGCCCCCCGGCAGCUCUGCUCCCUCCUGGUCCCAAAGCUGGAGUCAAAUGGCGCAAAACCAGGAUUGGUGGCACAAGAGCAGCCCCUCCUCUCCUGCAUGCCACGCUCUCUGCUUUUGUCAGGAAAGGCUUUUUCCGGAUCACUGUGCCCAUCUGCUGUUGUGCCGCCGAGCUGGGCCGGCAGGCGAGGCCCCCUGCGUGCUCCCGCUUCCUCCGUGGCUUCUGGUCUCUGGCCUUGUAAGGAGCUGCAGCUGGGUUUCCCCAGCAUCGCCUCCUCUCCGUGYGCCUCUGCUCCGGUGCUCCCUGGGCGUCCCCCCGGCCGAGCCCCCGCGAGGGUGGCCUGGCCUCUCGGGGCGCCCCUCGCUCUCCGGCACGGGAGAAGCCCGCGAGCGCUGGAGAGGCCGGAGGAAGCACCGCUUGCCCUUCUGUGCCCCUCCUCUCCCGGAGGCUCCGGCCGUUCGGGCAAGGCCGGCAGCUCGCGCCGCCUGCCUUUGGCGGUGCGGUGAGAGCCGGGGUUGGGGCUGCCCUGCGGGAACGGUCCCGCGGGGUUGGGGCUGCCCUGCGGGAAUGCUCCCGCGGGAAUGGUCCCGCGUGCCGGGGCCGGGGGGCCUGGCGGCAGCCCGCAGCUCCGUGGGGGGGCUGCGCUCGGCUGCGAGGGGCUGUGCAGGCAGGCAGAGUCCUUCGGGCCAGGGGCAGCCGCCAGCCGGGCGGCCUUCAGGCGUGCUUUCCGCUUCCUUUUUUUUAAUCUGCUCCCUGGAUUUCGGUGCCGCCGCUCGGAAG